AGCGAACGCUGGCGGUAGGCCUAACACAUGCAAGUCGAACGGCAGCACAGGAGAGCUUGCUCUCUGGGUGGCGAGUGGCGGACGGGUGAGGAAUACAUCGGAAUCUACCUUUUCGUGGGGGAUAACGUAGGGAAACUUACGCUAAUACCGCAUACGACCUACGGGUGAAAGUGGGGGACCGCAAGGCCUCACGCGAUUAGUGGAGCGGUUGUCCGAUUAGCCAGUUGGCGGGGUAAUGGCCCACCAAGGCGACGAUCGGAAGCUGGUCUGGGGGGAUGAUCAGCCACACUGGAACUGAGACACGGUCCAGACUCCUACGGGAGGCAGCAGUGGGGAAUAUUGGACAAUGGGCGCAAGCCUGAUCCAGCCAUACCGCGUGGGUGAAGAAGGCCUUCGGGUUGUAAAGCCCUUUUGUUGGGAAAGAAAUCCCGUCGAUUAAUACUCGGUGGGGAUGACGGUACCCAAAGAAUAAGCACCGGCUAACUUCGUGCCAGCCGCCGCCGUAACAC
rnacentral:rRNA from 1 species